GCCAGCAGCCAGACCAAUGGCAACCCUGCCUUAGCUGAAUCUCUGAAGCUAAGCAGGUGUGGGCUUGGUUAGUACUGGAUGGGAGACCAACUGGGAACACUGAGUUGCUGCUGGAA
rnacentral:rRNA from 10 species